GUUGCUGCCCUUUUAAAACAAUCCGCCAUGCACUAGUAUAAUGAAAAGUCAAAUUUCUGUUCAUGUUAUUUGGAAAGAAAGCAGUAUUUAAAUUAAACGGGAUGUUUGGUGCAGAUAUGAACAUACAGCCCUAGAAGCCAUCAGAAGUGACAAAUUAGGAUAACAUUCUGGAGAAUAAACCUUCUGCAUGUACUACCUGUGCUAGUUUAUUCAGACAUGAGCAAUAAAUGUAAAGUUUGUGAUUGCACAUUCAGCUGUAUGGGCAAUUUGAAACAACACGUGGAAAUUCACACUGUGAAGAAACGUUAUAAAUGUUAUAACUGCGAUGCCACCUUCAUCGGUAUGAGAAGUCUGGAGCUACAUGUUUUGAGACAUGCUGGAGAAAAACCUUUUAAAUGUGAUGUAUGUUUUCGUACUUUCACCAAAAAGUGUCAUCUGAAUGAACACAAAAUGAUACAUACUGGAGAAAAACCCUUUUCAUGUAGUGUAUGUAAUUGCACAUUCAUCAAAAAAUGCAAUCUGAAGCAUCACAUGAAGAUACAUACUGGAGAUAGACCUUUUAAAUGUGAAAUCUGUAAUGGUACAUUCAGCAAUAUGGGCAAUAUGAAGCGACACAUGACAAUGCAUAGCGGAGAAAAAAAACCUUGUAAAUGUUAAGUCGGAUAAGACGUCCAGCAAACUGAGCGCUCUGAAGGUAGUCAUGAGAACCACGAUACUGGAGAAAAAAACAAACUUGUCAAUGUAAUGUAUUGUAAUGGCAACUUUAGCAUUAAUAUGUAUCAGAAGAAACACAUGGGGAGACAACUUGAGAACAAACUUUAAUGUUUUAAAUGUCAAGUCUGUUUUGUACAUUCAGUGAUGUGAGUAACAUGAAUAAACACUUAAGAUUGUGAACUAUCUGCAACACAGUGGCGUCUCUUUACAAAGCUACCAAGAGAGUAGGGACCAGUUGGUAAAAUUACUUCAUUCGGACCUAUUUCCUGUCAAAAAUUGCUGUUGGGAGUGUAUAGUAUCCAUGAAUAAUUGUUCAUGAUUUGAAAAAAUAAGAAUUUUGUUUUUUAAUGCACUUUCAAUAAGAAUUUACAUGUUA